CCUCUAAGCAUCAGGUAACAUCAAAUCGUACCCCAAACCGACACAGGUGGUCAGGUAGAGAAUACCAAGGCGCUUGAGAGAACUCGGGUGAAGGAACUAGGCAAAAUGGUGCCGUAACUUCGGGAGAAGGCACGCUGACACGUAGGUGAAGUGAUUUACUCAUGGAGCUGAAGUCAGUCGAAGAUACCAGCUGGCUGCAACUGUUUAUUAAAAACACAGCACUGUGCAAACACGAAAGUGGACGUAUACGGUGUGACGCCUGCCCGGUGCCGGAAGGUUAAUUGAUGGGGUCAGCGCAAGCGAAGCUCCUGAUCGAA
rnacentral:rRNA from 2 species